UACGGAGGAUGCGAGCGUUAUCCGGAUUUAUUGGGUUUACAGGGUGCGCAGGCGGCGAGUUAAGUCAGCGGUAAAAUUUCGGGGCUCAACCCCGACAAGCCGUUGAAACUGGCUGGCUUGAGUUGGGGAAAGGCAGGCGGAAUGCGCGGUGUAGCGGUGAAAUGCAUAGAUAUCACGCAGAACUCCGAUUGCGAAGGCAGCAUACCGGCGCCCAACUGACGCUGAAGCACGAAAGCGCGGGUAUCGAACAGG
rnacentral:rRNA from 1 species